rnacentral:rRNA from 1 species
GGAUUCCCAUAGUAACGGCGAGUGAAAGGGGAAGAGCCCAGCGCUGAAUCCAUCGAUCACUGGUCGCUUGGAAUUGUAGCGUAUAGGUGCGGCUAUCCGCUCGUUUCGUGCACCCAAAGUCCCCUUGAGCGGGGCCAUAGUCCAAAGAAGGUGCUAGACCUGUACGGGUGGCGAGRCGRUCGGUUGGUCGCUCCUUGGAGUCGGGUUGCCUGGGAUCGCAGCCCAAAGUUGGUGGUAGACCUCAUCUAAGGCUAAAUAUGGCCACGAAACCGAUAGCAAACAAGUACCGUGAGGGAAAGUUGCAAAGAACUUUGAAGAGAGAGUUCAAGAGGGCGUGAAACCGCCGAGAUUGAAACGGAUAGAGUUGACGAAACUCGAUCGCAUUCAUCCGAUCCGCCUAGCGGUUCGGCGGUUGUUGACUUCCUCGAUGAGGGCAACGCCGUCGCUGGCUGUUGGGUGUUAGAUUGGUGUAUUUGCGGUCGGUAUGCGCCGAGAGCUUUGCGAGCGCAUGUUGACGUUGAUGUAGUGGACCACUCCCUCCGGGCGUGGAACCCUGCAUUGAUUGAGGCAUGUCGUUCGUAGGGUGUUGCUGGGUGACGUCUCCGCUAUGGUGGGUCGGCUUUGUUGGGCUGUUGCGGUUGCUGGGUGAUCGCAUGCGAGCGCCUGCAGCUURCGAUGGUACGAUGAGGUGCGGACGCGCUUGAGACGUGCAUCUCGGUGUGAACGUUGACCACCUAUCCG